rnacentral:rRNA from 1 species
GGGGAGGGGCUAGUCUAAUACAUGCAAGUCGAGCGGACAGAAGGGAGCUUGCCUCCCGGAUGUUAGCGGCCCCCCCGGUGAGUAACACGUGGGUAACCUGCCUGUAAGACUGGGAUAACUCCGGGAAACCGGAGCUAAUACCGGAUAGUUCCUUGAACCGCAUGGUUCAAGGAUGAAAGACGGUUUCGGCUGUCACUUACAGAUGGACCCGCGGCGCAUUAGCUAGUUGGUGAGGUAACGGCUCACCAAGGCGACGAUGCGUAGCCGACCUGAGAGGGUGAUCGGCCACACUGGGACUGAGACACGGCCCAGACUCCUACGGGAGGCAGCAGUAGGGAAUCUUCCGCAAUGGACGAAAGUCUGACGGAGCAACGCCGCGUGAGUGAUGAAGGUUUUCGGAUCGUAAAGCUCUGUUGUUAGGGAAGAACAAGUGCAAGAGUAACUGCUUGCACCUUGACGGUACCUAACCAGAAAGCCACGGCUAACUACGUGCCAGCAGCCGCGGUAAUACGUAGGUGGCAAGCGUUGUCCGGAAUUAUUGGGCGUAAAGGGCUCGCAGGCGGUUUCUUAAGUCUGAUGUGAAAGCCCCCGGCUCAACCGGGGAGGGUCAUUGGAAACUGGGAAACUUGAGUGCAGAAGAGGAGAGUGGAAUUCCACGUGUAGCGGUGAAAUGCGUAGAGAUGUGGAGGAACACCAGUGGCGAAGGCGACUCUCUGGUCUGUAACUGACGCUGAGGAGCUAAGUGCGCGGAACGC